UAGGGAAUCUUCGGCAAUGGACGAAAGUCUGACCGAGCAACGCCGCGUGUGUGAAGAAGGUUUUCGGAUCGUAAAACUCUGUUGUUAGAGAAGAACAAGGACGUUAGUAACUGAACGUCCCCUGACGGUAUCUAACCAGAAAGCCACGGCCAACUACGUGCAAGCAGCCGCGGUAAUACGUAGGUGGCAAGCGUUGUCCGGAUUUAUUGGGCGUAAAGCGAGCGCAAGCGGUUUCUUAAGUCUGAUGUGAAAGCCCCCGGCUCAACCGGGGAGGGUCAUUGGAAACUGAGAGACUAGAGUGCAGAAGAGGAGAGGGGAAUUCCAGGUGUAGCGGUGAAAUGCGUAGAUAUAUGGAGGAACACCAGUGGCGAAGGCGUCUCUCUGGUCUGUAACUGACGCUGAGGCUCGAAAGCGUGGGUAGCAAACAGG
rnacentral:rRNA from 1 species